UACUACAAAUGCCACCCAACGGCGUUAUAAUGGCUCAGGUGACUCCCAGUUUCAAAAUUACAAUCACCGUGGCAGAGGGGUCCAAAACCAGGCGAUGAAUAAUG